UCAUUUUUUUUAACUCCCUCCUUAUCUAUUAAAAUAAACAAUAAAUUUUAAUCAACAUCCUCUAUUAUAUCUAAUCAGACACCCAUUUCCAUUCUCGCAGUUUGAUAAAAAUUGCUUACGUUUCUAAUUCUCAUUCUCUUCCACUCCUUGCUAUCAACUCCUCUGUGUAUUGAAUAGUAGUCCAAUUAGGUUGGCCAUGGACCAGAUUGAACUUUGGAGAACAUCCGGUGUGCCUUGAAAUAGGACUAAAGAAUCCAUUGGCAUGGCAACUCUUGGCACAAAAUCCUUGCACAACACGUUUAUUUGAACUGGGAAAGGAAUGGGAUACUGUACAACAUUCAAAGGAAAUCGUCCAAGACAAUCGUUUGAAUUUUAAACAAGAACAGCAAUGCGGAGACUGCAUGCUUGACUAGAGGAGAGACACAAUAAGAUGAAGCAAACAACAGAGCUCAUCAUAUUGCUUCUAGUUAACUGACAUUUGAUAAAUUUACGUUUUGGUCCAUUAACAAGAAACCAAGGCCAUCAAAUUACUAGCUAAUCAGCGCCACACGAAAAUCAAGCCAUGAAGUAUUUUGCUAUAAAGUGGAAAUUUUGAAACGUUUGACCACCACCCCAGGGUUCCAACUUCAACAAACCAAUGUAAUUUCUUUCCUCUGCUCUAUCAUUUCUUCAGCUUUUUUAUUCUUUUUCUACCAUAAUUGCAUCAAAGUUCUUGAAAACAUCUCAUGCCUUCACUUUUGCUUUCAUCUGGUUUACUGGCGCACGGUUUCUGUCCGUUACUGCUCUUGCUCUUACCUUCUUAAUUCCAAGUCACAGACCACAAAACAUGUAGCUGGAGAAUGAUUGAAGAUAGCAAUCAAAUUCCACGGAUGAACUCCCAGUAAGUUCUGCGUCCAUAUGUCAUAAAAUACUAGUAAAAUCGCAUCUUUAAUGAGUUUAAGGACCCAACCACCCUUCCCACAAUUAUCCAGUGACCACCCAGCAGACAUAGACAACCGCAACAGAGAUAGAUUUCGGUACUGUCAACAACAAACCCGCAGGAUACCCAUUCCACUCCAAUUUCAGACUCGUUUAGUUUCUGUUGACUCGUCUAUGUUCAAUAGAUAGAUGCUCAUGCUGCAGGUUCUGGACAAUACACCUAACAAGCCACCCACGCCAAUGCCUGGACACUCAACAAGCAUCAACACCAAUCCUCUGCAUACAGGUUCCAAUUGUAAGGCUGGUAAAACCCACAACCAUGCAAGUAUAAUAGAAAACAAAGCACCAAAAAUUGAAUCAGAAACAGUAUAUAAAAUCAAGUUUCUCAGUUUUACAGCACAUUCAAAUAAAGUUUCCCUAAAUUCCUUCAACGCGAGAACAAUUAAAUAUAAAAAUCCUAUGAAGCUUAUGGUGUAACAAUCAAGAAAUAUGAAUCUGCAAUAACAAUUUAGAGCACAUGCGAAAAAAAUCCCCCGAAACUCCCACGAAGCGAAACCAAUUUACUCCAAAGAUUCUACGAUGCUUAAGCUGUAACUAUCAAUAAAUCCGAAUCGGUUAGAAAUAAGAGUUUAUUGAAGAACCAUCUUAUGCUCAAGAAAAUAAGAAAUAAAAUUAAACAAAAAACGAGUUAAGAUAACGUCAUCAAGUGAUAUGGAGGCGUGCGUAACCCUAAUCCACGGAAUUUCAAAUUCCAUCAAAUUAGGGCUUUAAACACCACCAGAUUUAAUUUCAGGAGCUGACAAAACACAAAGCAUUUAAAGCAAAUGCAUUGCAAAUCAUGGUCCAGCUCCUUCAAACCCUUUAAUUAAUUCAGUAUAAAACAGUGAAUUUACCAUGGAAAUGAUUUAAGCUAGACAGCUCAAAUCAAAUCAGAUAAAUAAUUUUUAAUCCAAUUAAAACUAAAAUAAAGCAAGGAAAUUCGAUAAAAUAGAAUCUGAAAUUAAAGACAAAAGAGAGGGUCGGUGCUCAUAUUCUAUGGGUGUAAAUGAGUCUGUCAAGCCAUGGCUAUAGCAUUCAGAACGAUGAAUUUUUUAUAAUCAUCACAGCCAACCCCCUUUUUAAUCUCUUUUCUAUCCGUAGAUGGAGCAAUGGAUUAAUAAAAUUGUAGAAA